rnacentral:rRNA from 1 species
ACGCUGGCGGCGUGCUUAACACAUGCAAGUCGAACGGAAAGGCCCUGCUUUUGUGGGGUGCUCGAGUGGCGAACGGGUGAGUAACACGUGAGUAACCUGCCCUUGACUUUGGGAUAACUUCAGGAAACUGGGGCUAAUACCGGAUAGGAGCUCCUGCUGCAUGGUGGGGGUUGGAAAGUUUCGGCGGUUGGGGAUGGACUCGCGGCUUAUCAGCUUGUUGGUGGGGUAGUGGCUUACCAAGGCUUUGACGGGUAGCCGGCCUGGGAGGGUGACCGGCCACAUUGGGACUGAGAUACGGCCCAGACUCCUACGGGAGGCAGCAGUGGGGAAUAUUGCACAAUGGGCGGAAGCCUGAUGCAGCAACGCCGCGUGCGGGAUGACGGCCUUCGGGUUGUAAACCGCUUUCGCCUGUGACGAAGCGUGAGUGACGGUAAUGGGUAAAGAAGCACCGGCUAACUACGUG